rnacentral:rRNA from 1 species
CACGUAGGGCGCGAGCGUUAUCCGGAAUUAUUGGGCGUAAAGAGCUCGUAGGCGGCCUGUUGCGUCCGCUGUGAAAGCCCGGGGCUUAACCCCGGGUCGGCAGUGGAUACGGGCAGGCUAGAGGUAGGUAGGGGAGAAUGGAAUUCCCGGUGUAGCGGUGAAAUGCGCAGAUAUCGGGAGGAACACCGGUGGCGAAGGCGGUUCUCUGGGCCUUACCUGACGCUGAGGAGCGAAAGCGUGGGGAGCGAACAGG